rnacentral:rRNA from 1 species
UCUACGGGAGUCAGCAGUGGGGAAUAUUGCACAAUGGGGGAAACCCUGAUGCAGCGACGCCGCGUGAGUGAGGAAGUAUUUCGGUAUGUAAAGCUCUAUCAGCAGGGAAGAAAAUGACGGUACAUGACUAAGAAGCCCCGGCUAACUACGUGCCAGCAGCCGCGGUAAUACGGAGGGGGCAAGCGUUAUCCGGAUUUACUGGGUGGAAAGGGAGCGUAGACGGCUAAUCAAGUCAGAAGUGAAAACCCAGGGCACAACCUUGGGACUGCUUUUGAAACUGAGUAGCUAGAGUGCAGGCGAGGUAAGCGGAAUUCCUAGUGUAGCGGUGAAAUGCGUAGAUAUUAGGAGGAACACCAGUGGCGAAGGCGGCUUACUGGACUGUAACUGACGUUGAGGCUCGAAAGCGUGGGGAGCAAACAGGAUUAGAUACCCGGGUAGUC